rnacentral:tRNA from 1 species
GGUGGGUAUAGCUCAGUGGUAGAGCACAUGCUUAGCAUGCAUGAGGUCCUGGGUUCAAUCCCCAGUACCACCA